AUCCUGGCUCAGAUUGAACGCUGGCGGCAUGCCUUACACAUGCAAGUCGAACGGCAGCACGGACUUCGGUCUGGGUGGCGAGUGGCGAACGGGUGAGUAAUGUAUCGGAACGUACCUUCAGUGGGGAUAACGUAGCGAAAGUUACGCUAAUACCGCAUAUUCUGUGAGCAGGAAAGCAGGGGAUCGCAAGACCUUGCGCUGAUUGAGCGGCCGAUAUCAGAUUAGCUAGUUGGUGAGGUAAAGGCUCACCAAGGCGACGAUCUGUAGCGGGUCUGAGAGGAUGAUCCGCCACACUGGAACUGAGACACGGUCCAGACUCCUACGGGAGGCAGCAGUGGGGAAUUUUGGACAAUGGGGGCGACCCUGAUCCAGCCAUGCCGCGUGAGUGAAGAAGGCCUUCGGGUUGUAAAGCUCUUUCGGCCGGGAAGAAAUCGCAUGGGCUAAUACCCUGUGCGGAUGACGGUACCGGCAUAAGAAGCACCGGCUAACUACGUG
rnacentral:rRNA from 1 species